rnacentral:rRNA from 1 species
UACAGAGGUCUCAAGCGUUGUUCGGAUUCAUUGGGCGUAAAGGGUGCGUAGGUGGCGCCGUAAGUCGGGUGUGAAAUCCUGGGGCUCAACCUCAGAAUUGCAUUCAAUACUGCUUAGCUAGAGAGCUGUAGAGGAGACUGGAAUUUACGGUGUAGCAGUGAAAUGCGUAGAUAUCGUAAGGAACGCCAGUGGCGAAAGCGAGUCUCUGGGCAGCAUCUGACACUGAGGUACGAAGGCCAGGGGAGCAAACGGG